GCGGCACCCAGAGGCCGUCCUGUAGCCGGGCCGGCUUGGGGCUUGGUUCUAUGUCCCUGCGGGUCGGUGCAAGGGCGAAGAGGAACCCGUGGGCCUCAGGGGAUCCCGGGGGGCCGGACCAGUGUUCCCUAGUUGUGGGAGCAGACGCGUGGGCACAUUGCGGGCGGGCAGGGCCUGAAGUGCAGAAGUUUAUACGAGACCUAGUUUCCAGGGAAGAACUCACUGAUUCCGCGAGGGAGAUGGCUUAAUGGAUGAUGGUCGUCAGCCUUAAGGAUACUUCAGUCUUAACUGUGUGUUACAAAGUUUGAAAGGGAGGGUUCCCUAUGAAUAAGAAGCACACUUGAAAGAACAGCCAUCUGGUCUAACCUCUCACUGGUGCUUCAGAGGAGGAAAAAAGGUCACAGCUAUGUUUCCAGUGUCCUCUGGGUGUUUCCAAGAGCAACAAGAAAUGAAUAAAUCUCUGACAGAGUUUCACUCUUGUUGCCCAGGCUGGAGUGCAGUGACACGAUCUCAGCUAGCUGCAACCUCCACCUCCCGGGUUCAAGCAAUUCUCCUGCCUCAGCCUCCUGAGUAGCUG
rnacentral:lncRNA from 10 species